rnacentral:lncRNA from 13 species
CUCCCUCUACCACCGGCCUUGUUACCAAGGCUACUGCCGGACCUCCCUCUACCCCAGGCCUUGUUAUCAAGGCUACUGAUGGACCUCCCUCUACCACAGGCCUUGUUAUCAAUGGUACUGAUUGACCUCCCUCUAUCCCAGGCCUAGUUAACAAUGGUACUGUUCGACCUCCCUCUAUCCCAGGCCUUGUCACCAAUGGUACUGUUCGACCUCCCUCUAUCCCAGGCCUUGUUAUCAAUGGUACUGACUGACCUCCCUCUACCACAGGCCUUGUUACCAAGGCUACUGAUGGACCUUCCUCUGCCCCAGGCCUUGUUACCAAGACUACUGAUGGACCUCACUCUACCUCAGGCCUUGUUACCAAGGCUACUGAUGGACCUCCCUCUGCCUAUUUGAGGAGUGUUUCCUGUCUCCAAUUUGAUUAAUAGAAACAUUAAACAUUAUGGUAGUUCAGAAUGUAUUUUGUACAUGAUCAAUUCAUUUUACACAUUAUGGAUAUACCUCAAAUGUUAUUCUACAAGAUACAGACACAAAACAACUGAAUCAAUCGUUAAACUACAUGGUUUACAAUAUGUGAUGAUGGAUACUGUACCUCUGUGUGCUAUGUAGGUCUACUAUGAUGGAUGCUAUGAUUGACAAAGCAAAAGAACAUAACAUCAUAUUAGAAAUAACUAUUCAUAAAAUGUUAAAUGAAACUAAGCUGCAUGAUGUAAACUACACAGAGGAAAUGUUAAAUAAAAUACAGCAAACAUUUAUCUUUAGUUCAAAGACGCUAUAAAAAGGUGCUAGUCUGUAGUUCUUAUUGUACUUGACUUGGUGAUGGACGAGGGAAACAUGACACAUCCCUUUACAUUACUGUCCCAUGCAACUCUACACUAGCCUGAUCCCAGAACAGUUUAUGCUCUCAUUAUGAAGACGUGACAUCACAGUUCCUUUAAUGAGCUGGUAAGAGAUCAGAAACAGACUGACACCCAGGAUAACUCUACACUAGCCUGAUCCCAGAACAGUUUAUGCUCUCAUUAUGAAGACGUUACAUCACAGUACCAUUAAUGAGUUGGUAAGAGAUCAGAAACAGACNNNNNNNNNNACUUUGGUCAGUUAGUCAUCGUUUCUUCAGGUUCUCCUGCUUUCAUCUCCUGUAAUUCAUAAUACUAUCAAUGUAUAAUGUGCCUGUUUGGUUCCUGCUGCAUUUGUAAUAUUAUUGAUAUCUGGAAGUGAUUACUGGUCAUCCUGCAGAUGUGAGAACAAUCAAAUUAACACGCUGAAGGAUUUCAUGAUGUUAAUGUAUUUUAUAUGAUCACUUUUAAGACUAAGUUUGAAAUAUCAUAGUUGUUUUAAUGUAACUAUUCUGAUUUUUAUUCCACUCUUUUGUAAGACUUAGUUGUCAAUUCCAUUUUACAUUUGUAUUCAUUGUACAUCCAAGUUUAAUUUUGGAUUAAAUACUGAAUUAACAGUUCACAAAGGAUAAUUGGAAGUGCAGAAUGUUAUUCAUGAUUCAUGAUCUUGUUCAUGAUCUUGUUCUACAAGAUAACACACACAAUAACAUAAAGCGUUUAACUAGGUGGUUUACAAUAUGUGUGAGGAUGGAUGUUUGACAGAGUACGACAUAGCUAAAAAUAUAACGGAAUAUUUAAAAUAAUCGUCAUACAGGCAAUGUAGUCUACAGAUUCAUAAACUGGUAGUUUUCAAUGCAACGAAGCUGCAUGCUGAUCUGAUCUACCAUCUAACACAGACAGAAUGUCAGAUAAAAUGCAGCAAACAUUUAUUCAUUUGUCUUUU